AGUGAGUGGCGGACGGGUGAGUAACACGUGGGUAACCUGCCUUAAGUGGGGGAUAACAUUUGGAAACGGAUGCUAAUACCGCAUAAAACCUAACACCGCAUGGUGUAGGGUUGAAAGAUGGUUUCGGCUAUCACUUUAGGAUGGACCCGCGGUGCAUUAGUUAGUUGGUGAGGUAAAGGCUCACCAAGACCGUGAUGCAUAGCCGACCUGAGAGGUAAUCGGCCACACUGGGACUGAGACACGGCCCAGACUCCUACGGGAGGCAGCAGUAGGGAAUCUUCCACAAUGGACGAAAGUCUGAUGGAGCAACGCCGCGUGAGUGAAGAAGGUUUUCGGAUCGUAAAACUCUGUUGUUGGAGAAGAAUGUAUCUGAUAGUAACUGAUCAGGUAGUGACGGUAUCCAACCAGAAAGCCACGGCUAACUACGUG
rnacentral:rRNA from 1 species